rnacentral:lncRNA from 1 species
AAGCCUCACCCCCCACAGGACCACACCCACCAUCAACACAGUCCUGGUGCAUACACACUUAACCCCCUGGAGAGUACCCAACUCCUCACUUCAGAGGCCUCCACCUCUCCACCAAUGCCCCCCACAGUUCACCUGGUCCUCACACAGGCCCUGCCCCACAGAGGCAGACACACUUACCUAUCUGUAGAGGAUCAAACAGCCAGUCAGUGCAGGCUAAAAAGUAGCCUGAGGGCUUGCUGUUAAGUAGGGCUGGUCCCUAUGGUGGGCUGCCUGCCCUGAUUGAACUGGAUUAAAUCUGUGCUCUAGUGGGCAGGGCAGACCCCUGGGCUAAUAGGCCAAGGGAAGAACCUCAAUGACGCCCCUCUGGGUCUGUGUCAGCGUGCCUGGACCAGGUGAGAACAAUGGCCCCCACCGUCUCAGUCUCCAGAGAGGUCCCUACUCCCACCAAGAUGGCCCCAGAUUCCACCAGGCUGAAAUGGCCCAUGUCCUCGUUAUGGAUAAGCCAAUAUACAACUGCAUAGAAAAAAGCUUCAUGGCUCCUGUUCUACAUGAGGUGCCACAGGAAAGGCUUUCUCAAGAAACAAUACUAGUUGGAUGGAACACUCACCUGGCAUGGAGUCAUCCCCAUUUUCUGCAUGGCGGUGGAGCGUGGGAACUGCAUCUAUUCAACGUGUCUCUUACACGCUGCCUCAGCAUGCUCUAGGAUCUCUAACUGAAUUUGUCAACAAGAGAGAGUAAAAACUGGAAGAAGACUAUGCUUUUAAAUGCUAAAGACAUUUUCCGCAAUUUUCUCACCAGAACUUUUGAACCUUCCCUAGAAUGUUCUGGAGCUGCAUUCUUAGACCUCCCCAUUGCCUCCACUUUCAUUUCACCCCAAGAGCUGUUAGUUAAUAAAAACGGACCUCUAGAGCAGAUCUUCUCAGACUUUAUAUGCAUAAAAAUACGUAUACAAAUGCCUUGGGGAUCUUGAAAAAAUGUAAUUUCUGAUUCAACAGGUCUAGGGUAGGACCUGAAGUUGUAUAUUUUGAAUAAGCACUGGGUAAUGCAGAUGCUGCUGGCCCAUGGACCACCCUUUGAAUAGCAUAACUCUAGAUCUGCUUUCAAGGAAAUAAAAUGGAAUUAACAUUUGUAAGUCACAACUUGAGUUAAAAAGCUCCAGGUAAUUUAAAGAUAUUGUUUUACCCAAUUUUCUUAAGAACCUACAAAAUGUGUAUUAUGUCCAGUUUACAGAGAAAACCAAAACUUACUUAGAUAUUUUAAUUUACUCCAUAUCACCUAGUUAAAAAUCACAAAACUAGAAUUGGAUCCCAGUUUCUGUGACCCCAAAAGUCUUCACCCUUCUGACAGACCAAACUGCCUCUUAGCACUGAUGUCACUCUGAGUGCGCUGACCUGCCGGGGUUUUCUAGUUCGUCAGAGCAUCCCAGGGAUGACUAAGCCAGCGUUUGAACCCCCUUUGCACCCAAACGUCAAUACUAUGAUAGCACAGUGAUUUUUACAAAGCCAUAAAUACAGAGGAACAAAGAGAAUAGAAUGGGAAAUCUUUGGAAUACAGGAAAGCAGACAGGCAGGUGGUAACUGCGCUGACAACCAGACAGCCGGGUCUAGGAGGCUGUGGGAGGAGCCGGAAGUCAGCUGACGGCACCGUGGGUGAUUCCUGAGUCUCUGAAAAGGCCGUCUUGAGAGUUUACACCCUUCGCCAGAAGGACGAAGUGCUAGAAUUUUUAGAGUGGCUCAGGGCCUCAACAAGCAGGGAAGAGGUUAAGCUGUAAAUUUUGGAUUUUGAAUGCACUGGAAUUUUCCUUCUCUUUUUUCAGCUGUGGGAUCAAGGAAGAAACAGGGUCCUAAAGGUCCUGUGGUGUAGACAUCCAACAACAGGAUGAUCUGGGGUAUAUCAUUACCUCUGUGGGUCUUGACACACUAAAAUAUAAAAGGAAAAGGCUACACUAAGUCAUAUCUAUGAUCCUGUUAGCUCAAACAUUUUGUGAUCCUGGAGGUGUAAUCGCUGUUUUAUGGAUCUGCAUUUAUGUCAAGAGAAAUGUCAUUGUAAGUUUUUCAUCAUCAUAGCAAAACUGUUAAAGUAGCAGAUGGAGCAAUACAUUUGUAUGUCACAAUGCAGUUGGUCACCCCUCAUUUAUACAAAUCUUGUUGAAGAAAUGACACUCAAAAGCCUCUCCAUAUUUAAGUAUAAAAAAAUCUAUAAAAUUAUAUCCAAUUGGUUAGCAGCCUGUGUCUGAGGUUUAAUAGAGUUAUAUUUCUUUUCUGGCUUCAGAGAAGACUUUUCCAAAUGAAUAUAAGGGAUGGGACACUUGAUUUGGCUGCCCUUUCUAAAUUGUGGUCUAAAUUUAUUAGUGCAGUUCAUGACUCAGCCCCUUUAUUUAUGUCAUUAAGCAUGGUUUUUAUUUUCUCAGAAGCCAAUAUAUAUUUUGUCAUCAUGGAAAUGAAUAUCAAGUAGGUAGAAAUGAGACUAUAGAUUUAUCCCACAUGAAACAAAUCUGAUAUAUGAAAAACUCCCUUUAAAAAAGAGAUAUAUCAAGGUGAAAUUAUUUACUUUGCCCAAAUAAUUAUUUAUGUGUGUAUUUAUUCCCAAGGAUUAUAUUAAAGAACAUUUAACCCAGUAUUUAUUCAUUCAUUUGAUAAAAUUAGUUCAAUUUAUGCACAAUUUUUAGAAUUUCAUUUCUUGUUUAAUUAGGUCAACUUGUGUGGUUUAAGCAACUUUUGAUUUUUUAAAUGAAAACUCAAGUAAAAUUUCUGUUUGACAGUAGUAAUUGCACUGGAUAUGGAGAUAAUGAAAAAUGAGCAGACAAGUGAAGCUAAAAGGAAGUUAGAAAGGACACAUAUCCCAAGCAGAAAAUUAGCAAACAUGGCAACUUCCAGCUCUCUAUGCCAUAUGUGGACACACCAAAUAGGGUCAUUUCCUGGACUGGAAAACUGGGUUCCAGGCUGUGGCACGCAGGACUAGGAGAUCGAGGAUAGAGGCAGUGCCUCGUCCGCUCUCCAAGUUAGUCAAGAGAUGAACUUUUCCCAAGAGGGCUGCCCUCUCUUCAUUGUGGUAUUUUAUGCAUUUAUUCAAUUAAUCCAAUAUUACUUUUUCUUUCAAUUUCUGUGUAUUUUUUUAAACACUAAGUUGUUAAGACUUAAAUACUUCUUAAGUUAUUUAGACCUAACUGCU